rnacentral:rRNA from 1 species
UACAGAGGGUGCAAGCGUUAUCCGGAUUUAUUGGGCGUAAAGCGUUUCGUAGGCGGUUGGAUAAGUUGUAAUUCAAAGCCCAGGGCUUAACCUUGGAAAGGGUUGCAAUACUAUUUGACUUGAAAUGUUUCGGGGUUUUCGGAACUGUCGGUGUAGGAGUGAAAUCCGUUGAUAUCGACAGGAACACCAAGGGCGAAGGCAGAAAACUAGGAAUAUUUUGACGCUGAGGAACGACAGCUAGGGGAGCGAAAGGG